AGAACGAACGCUGGCGGCAUGCCUAACACAUGCAAGUCGAACGAGACCUUCGGGUCUAGUGGCGCACGGGUGCGUAACGCGUGGGAAUCUGCCCUUAGGUACGGAAUAACAGUGAGAAAUUACUGCUAAUACCGUAUGAUGUCUUCGGACCAAAGAUUUAUCGCCUAGGGAUGAGCCCGCGUUGGAUUAGCUAGUUGGUGGGGUAAAGGCCUACCAAGGCGACGAUCCAUAGCUGGUCUGAGAGGAUGAUCAGCCACACUGGGACUGAGACACGGCCCAGACUCCUACGGGAGGCAGCAGUGGGGAAUAUUGGACAAUGGGCGAAAAGCCUGAUCCAGCAAUGCCGCGUGAGUGAUGAAGGUCUUCGGAUCGUAAAGCCCUUUUCUGCGUGACGAAAACAGACGGUAGCGCAGGAAUAAGUCUCGGCUAACUACGUGCCAGCAGCCGC
rnacentral:rRNA from 1 species